CCAACUUCUCUGUGCCUUGACGAUCCCAGCCAUUAAAUAGGUAACAAUGUACCUACCCAAGAGUUACUGUGAGGAUUAAAUGGAGGCGCUGUGAACAAUGCUGGCACACAGUCAGGCCUCAAUAAGUUUUAGUAAUUGUUAUUCUCUCCACUCUCUUUUUUCUGUCAUGAGAAUUCUGGGACAAAGGAACACUUAGAGGGUUCUGGGGUUCCUUCUGUGCUGUCACCUGAACUGUCACUUUACUUUCUAGCACAGCUUCUGUUCUUUCAGUCAAUGUUGUAGACCAAAGAGAAGGAAGAAUGUCUCCCAUUUAGGUAAAGACACUUCCAAGAAAUCGACUAGGGACGUAACUGAAUUGGCCUUUGAAGAUGAUGGCCUUUGACUUUAAGGGAGAGAGGAGGCCUGGAGAGACUAUUACAGUCUUAGGGAUGUAGGAAGACCAAUGGCAGGGGCUGGUCUUGUGGCCGAGUGGUUAAGUUCGCACGCUCCGCUUCAGCGAACCCAGGGUUUCACUGGUUCUGAUCCUGGGCGUGGACUUGGCACCUCUCAUCAGGCCAUGCUGAGGCAGCACCCCACAUAGCACAACCAGAAGGACCCACAACUAGAAUAUGCAACUGAGUACUGGGGGGCUUUGAGGAGAAGAAGAAGAAAAGAGAAGAUGGGCAACAGAAGUUAGCUCAGGUGCCAAUCUUUAAAAAAAAAAGAAAAAGAAAAUCAACGGCAGCUAUGGAAAACACCAGCCUACCGGAAUGUGUCUUGAAGGAAAUUAGGCCCCGCUGCAGACUCUGAGAGAAAAGUUAAAUUUUUUGUCAUCGCUCAAGAACCUUGGCUGACAGGGCAGCUGCCAUCUUGAACAUAACUGACCCCUGUGCCAGUGCUCCAACGACUCUCAAAACAGCAAUUAAAUGCUCUGAUUUAUUUCAUUUUCUUCAACUUGUUUGUCAGAAGUAUUCACGUGACCUGAGCCAACAAAAAAGGGCUGAGAAAACGCCAUCUGACCAUCGGGCGGAUUGUGGAGAGAUGGAAAUGUCUGGUGAAUGAUUCCUCCAGGAAAAGCUGAUGUCCAGAGGACAGCUGCUUGUUUAGAGCCUAGAGGACAAGGAGGAGCCCGCAGCCCCCGUGAGGAAUGAAUGUUAAGGUGAUCAUUGAAAAGAAGACAUACUGAUAAAAUGAAUAACUCCGCAAGCAAACCUGUCUUUAAAGGAUUUCUUGACCUCUGAAAAAUGAGAGAUGAUCUUAAGUCAUCAAAAAAAGUCACCUCUAAAACCUCUAAAAUAGUGUGAUACCGGGAUUUGCUUCACAACAAUCUGGGAGGGGCAGACAGCGGGAAGGGUGGAGACGAGUUGUUUCCGUGGAAGUUGACUUGAGUGCGUGAACUUUGAGAACUGGGUCAUCUGUUCCUCUUAUUGCUGAUUGAACUGAGUAAUUUCACCAUGUAGAAGCCUCAUUAUCUGUCAAAGGGAUCUUCUGAGAAAACUGGACAGUUAGCGGACCUUUUAAGCAAACGACAUCCUGUGGACAUUAUUUUAAGCGCCCUGGAGCAUCCUGGAAACCACUGGUUUUCAAAACUUUUCUUGCACACGAUCCACUGUAGAAAGACGUUUUACAUCACAACACGCAUAAAUCUAUGUUACUGAAAUGAAAGUUUUGUGAGAAAAUACUUUUCCUUACUAGACAUGAUGCAUUCUGAUAUUUUCCAUUUCAUUGUAAUCAUUUUUUUAAAAAAUUCUGGUUUGUAACCCAUUAAAUUGAUUUUACCACCAACAAUUGAGACUCAAGAGUAUGAAACAGAGACGUGAACAAAUCAGGGUGCCGGUUGGACUCGAGAAUAAUAUGAGAUUCAAGUGAAUUUCAUUUGAGGGAAAAAAGUUUGGUAGAAUUUAGAAGUCAACAAAUUUGUGGGUUAUUUUCCAUAACGUAAAACUUCAAAUUUUUUGGAAUUAAGCAUUUUUUGCAAUCAGUAUGUGGCUAAUAUCGGUAAAAGACAAUUUAGCAGUAUAGCUCUUUUAAAUAUUAUACAUUUGCAAUGAAAAGAAUGAUUCCUUAGUUCCAGAAGGUCCAAAUAUGAAGUCGCGGCCCAAAAUAAGAAAGAAGAUAGUCUAAGUGGACAAUUGCAAGAGGGAAUUGACAACAGUCUGGAGGCCUGGUAAAGGAUCUACAACACUGUGUUGAGAGAAGGCUGUGUUCUUACAGAGAACAGAAGAGAUAGCGUCUGAUAAAAUGGGCCUGUGCCUCCGAGUCUGAUAGCGGUGCCUUCUGAUUUUGCCGUAUCUCUAGUCAAUGAAGCCACAAGAGUCACAGCUUGGACAAGGCCACAAGGACCUAAGGGUGCUCUAUGACCCACAGCAUCCAGCCUGUCCUCAGACUCUUCCUGCGAUGGGGGAUGGCUCGUGAUAACUCUUCCAGCUUCCAGAGGAAGCGUGGCUGGUUGACCUUGCUCAACAGUCUUAACCUUUCUGCAUCUCAGUUUUUUAACUUGUAAAUGUGUUCAAGACGUAUUCUUUGCCUUCCUACUAUGGGACCCCUGCCACAGCAUGGCGUGCCAAGCAGUGUGCCAUGUCCGCACCUGGGAUCCGAGCCAGCGAACCCCUGGCUGCCAGAGCAGAACGUGAGACUUAACUGCUGCAUCACCGGGCCAGCCCCUACUUUUGUAUUUUUGAUCAAAAUAAGGCACUGAGUUUCUAGAGGAAGACUAUGAGUUCAGCUUUGGACAUGUUGCUCUGAAUUUGGCUGUGGAUGGUAAGAUGGGGUCACACCCACUGGGCACGAGAUCUGGAGCUGACGUUUACACAUUGUUGACUCCCCAACACCGAUUCCACUCCUCUCUCAAUGUGAUCUGGGAAAUUGCCCUCAUCUCAAAGGUGGGCCUGAUUGAUCUAAAAGUACUGAUCUGAAAGUCACCCUACUUGCCAGGAAUUGGUUCAGGGAUAGACAUGUGAUAUAGUUCUCAUCAAUGAGAGGCAAUGAGAUGUUUGCAGGAGGCUUCUGGGAAAGGCCGUCUCUCCCUGUGGAUCUGGAUGGGGAAGCCUCCAGCCCUGGCGCUCCUGACAGCUUUCCUACAGCCACAAAGAUCCAGCCACAGGAUGAGGCCAAGUCUGUGGACCACAGCGCCGAGAGAGAGCCUGCUUCCUUGACGACAUUGUUGAACCUGCUCAUCAGUUAUCUUGGAAGCUUGUACUGGCUGUGGACUGCCUCUUACUUGAACUCAGUCUCCCUGGGUCUGCCCUUCAACAAGUAGCCCUGUGACCCUGAACAUUCUGCAGUCACUUCGCCUUUCUGGGUUUCAGUGAGCUCAACUGUGAACCGGGGUAUGUAUUCAGUCUGUCUACCCACAUGGGCAGAUUCAGGUUUUAUAGAGUUUGAAGCAUAUGCAAUCUUGAGAGGUCUUCUUAAAAACUGGGAACAAGGGCUGGCCCGAUGGCGUAGUGGUUAAGUUCGUGCACUCCGCUUCAGUGGCCUAGGGUUCGCAGGUUCUGAUCCUGGGCGCAGACCUAGCACCGCUCAUCCAGCCAUGCUGUGGUGGCAUCCCACACAAAAUAGAGGAAGACUGGCACAGAUGUUAGCUCAGGGCCAACCUUCCAUACAGAAAAAAAACGCAAAACCAAAAAACUUGCAACAGAGCCUUGGAAGAAAUCAGUGCAAGUGAAGGGCCCUCAAGCUUCAAGGUACAUCUUCCUCUGCUUCACUUCAGGGUUAUAGUGUAGAAUGAGUGAGAGAAAGCGUGCAGCGUGCGCACCACGUGGUGACUAUCCCAUGAAGGUCAGCUGCUAUGAUUGGGA
rnacentral:lncRNA from 1 species